rnacentral:rRNA from 1 species
UACGUAGGGGGCAAGCGUUGUCCGGAUUUAUUGGGCGUAAAGAGCGUGUAGGCGGCCGUACAGGUCAGCUGUGAAAACUCGAGGCUCAACCUCGAGACGUCGGUUGAAACCGUACGGCUAGAGUCCGGAAGAGGAGAGUGGAAUUCCCGGUGUAGCGGUGAAAUGCGCAGAUAUCAGGAGGAACACCUGUGGCGAAAGCGGCGCACUGGACCACAACUGACGCUGAGGCGCGAAAGCUAGGGGAGCAAACAGG